rnacentral:rRNA from 1 species
UACGUAGGGACCGAGCGUUGUCCGGAAUCAUUGGGCGUAAAGAGUGCGUAGGUGGUGCCCUAAGUCUGUUGUGAAAUCUCCCGGCUUAACUGGGAGGGUGCGGUGGAAACUGGGGUGCUUGAGUGUGGGAGAGGUAAGCGGAAUUCCUGGUGUAGCGGUGAAAUGCGUAGAUAUCAGGAGGAACACCGGUGGUGUAGACGGCUUACUGGACCACGACUGACACUGAGGCACGAAAGCGUGGGUAGCAAACAGG